GCAUGUGUGGGGUAGUGGUAACCUGGGUCGUUGCCAAAGGCGAACCUUAAGCUCGUCGACCCGCCGGGAGUUCGAUUCUCUCCGCACGCA